rnacentral:rRNA from 1 species
UCAGGACGAACGCUGGCGGCGUGCUUAACACAUGCAAGUUGAACGGUCCGGCGAUGGAAGCUUGCUGAAGUGUCGGGUAGUAGCGACGGGUGAGUAAUGCAUGAGAAGCUGCCAUUGGAGGGGGACGAACAGUUGGAAACGGCUGCUAAUACCCCAUAUGCCGGAAGGUGAAACGGAGUAAUCCGCCCGAUGAGGUGCUCAUGUCCUAUCAGCUUGUUGGUGAGGUAACGGCUCACCAAGGCGACGACGAGUAGCCGGCCUGAGAGGGUGACCGGCCACACUGGAACUGAGAUACGGUCCAGACUCCUACGGGAGGCAGCAGUGGGGAAUAUUGGGCAAUUGGGGGGCAACCCUGACCCAGCGACGCCGCGUGAGGGAAGACGGCCUUCGGGUUGUAAACCUCUUUUGUACGGGAAGAAGGACGUGACGGUACCGUGCGAAUAAGUCCCGGCUAACUACGUGCCAGCCGCAGC